UUAUGUCCUGUCUCUGCAGGUGACACCCUGGAUUCAUCCAAUGAUACCGUCGAGUUUCGUAGACCUGAUCUGGGAUUCAAGCUUCCAUGGUGGUUUGGAUUAGUUCUGGGGCUGCUCGUCCUCCCCGUCAUCAUCUAUCUGCUCUACAAGUGCUUCCAUCCCCGAUCCGUCAUGGAUCAGUUCCUGAAGUCUCAAGGCUUUCACUUAAAUGGCUGAUUAUAUGCCUAGUUUCUACAAGUGUCCUGUUUGUAUCAACAUCAAGAAUACAACGUUGGAUCACAGAGAAAAAGUCAAGUUAUUAAAUUUUCUUUUCAGCCAUUAAAUAGUUUUAUCUGUUUCUGGGAAAGCUGAAAAAUCAAUAUUCUGGCUCCACAAAACCACAUUUAGAGUGGGCACGGGGCUUACUGCAUCCUGUGUGACUGCAACAUAGAAUGAAUAUGCAGUUAGCACCUAUGCUCCCUCUAGUCAGGAAACCAAAUCCAACACUCUGGGGACUUCAAAUAAAACUUCCUCUUUAUUGUAGAAAAAUUAAAAACAGUCUGAACCGCAAUCCAGUAGCAGCAUAACUUAGCGUAUUCGUUUCAGGUAUACAAACCGCUGCCGAUCAGCUGUAUGAGGAGAUAGCGCACGCAGUGCAUACGUGCUGUCUCCCUUUUCUCUUCCUGUUUACCGCUGCUUUGCCAUAGACAAAAGGGCAUCUGUCAGCAGGUUUGUACCUAUGACACUGGCCCGACCUGUUACAUGUGCA